rnacentral:misc_RNA from 1 species
GUUCACAGCAGAAGAUAUAGCAAGCUCGGUACAACAGAUAUUCAAUUUUAUUCAUGCAAACAGCAGCAUGUGAUAUAAUAUAAGACCCAAAAACAAAGGCUGAUCUGUUAUAUGUAUUUCCACAUAUAGAGAGAUCCCUCUAUGGAUCCUUUCAGUACUUUUUUUCCCCUUAUAUAUGGAAUCGAUUAUUUAAAACUGACACUCACUUCAAUUGUUUAUGAAUAAGUUGUCAUGAAAGAAAAGUGAGAAUACUGUAAUAAUUUUGGAAGAUAGUGAUUAAUAAAAUUAUUUGAAACAAUCAAUAAAAAUAAUUUACGGGCUUUUUAAUGACUUUUUCGCCAGAUAAAAUGUUAUUCUAUUGCUUAAAG